rnacentral:misc_RNA from 1 species
GAUGAAGAACGUAGCGAAAUGCGAUAAGUAAUGUGAAUUGCAGAAUUCAGUGAAUCAUCGAAUCUUUGAACGCACAUUGCGCCCGCCAGUAUUCUGGCGGGCAUGCCUGUUCGAGCGUCAUUUCAACCAUCAAGCCCCCCGGCUUGUGUUGGGGACCUGCGGCUGCCGCAGGCCCUGAAAAGCAGUGGCGGGCUCGCUGUCACACCGAGCGUAGUAGCAUACAUUUCGCUCUGGGCGUGCUGCGGGUUCCGGCCGUUAAACCACCUUCAUAACCCAAGGUUGACCUCGGAUCAGGUAGGAAGACCCGCUGAACUUAAGCAUAUCAAUAAGCGGAGGA